rnacentral:rRNA from 1 species
CAGAGGCGAUGAAGGACGUGCUAAUCUGCGAAAAGCGUCGGUAAGGUGAUAUGAACCGUUAUAACCGGCGAUGUCCGAAUGGGGAAACCCAGUGCAAUUCGUUGCACUAUCGUUAACUGAAUACAUAGGUUAACGAGGCGAACCGGGGGAACUGAAACAUCUAAGUACCCCGAGGAAAAGAAAUCAACCGAGAUUCCCCCAGUAGCGGCGAGCGAACGGGGAGCAGCCCAGAGUCUGAAUCAGCUUGUGUGUUAGUGGAACGGUCUGGAAAGUCCGACGGUACAGGGUGAUAGUCCCGUACACCAAAAUGCACAGGCUGUGAACUCGAAGAGUAGGGCGGGACACGUGGUAUCCUGUCUGAAUAUGGGG